CAAUAGCGUAUAUUAAAGCUGUUGCGGUUAAAAAGCUCGUAGUUGGAUUUCUGUCAAGUACAACUGGUCCGCCCUCCGGGUGAGCACAUAGUUUGGUCUUGGCAUCUUGCUGGAAAUUGUUGCUGCACUUGGCUGUGUGGCGCAGUGUCCAGCACUUUCACUUUGAGGAAAUUGGAGUGUUUCAAGCAGGCAAUGCCUUUGAACACAGUAGCAUGGAAUAAUUAGAUUGGGCUUUUGCUCCAAUUUGUCGGUUUCUGGAGCUGAGGUGAGAAUUAAUGGGGAUUGUUGGGGGCAUCCGAAUUUAGCCGUCAGAGGUGAAAUUCUUGGAUCGGCUAAAGACGGACAACUGCGAAAGCGUCUGCCCAGGAUGUUUUCAUUGA
rnacentral:rRNA from 1 species